rnacentral:snRNA from 1 species
AGCUUUGCAAGUGGCAGUUUCACCACCAGUGAGGUUUAUCAGAGGCAUAAUUAUUACAAGUUAACUUGCCUCAA